CGAGAAUUUGCAUGGGUGGAGCUUGAAAAAGGCUAGUCGUCUGACAAGCAGCGCUCUUGCCGUGCAUUCUGCAUCAUCUCUUGGAAUCGUUGAGUAUAUUGUGGGUUGUUUGAGGCAAAGGUUUCAUUCAAGUUGACUAUCUUGCUGAAAAUGAUAUCGCGCUACCUGUUAGUGGCUCUGGUGUGGGUGGCAACUGGCGCCGCAAUCAAUGGCGUCAACAGUGCCACAACUGUCUUUACAGAGGCACUGACAUCACACUCCAAAGUUCAGGCGGAAACCGAAGGUCAUUUCUUGGAUCCAGCACUGGGUGUCGCCAAUGUAUCAAUGCCAGGAAUGGAGGGUAACAUUGUCAAACGUUCUGAUUACUACGGCUUUGGCAAUUUACCACAGGUCACGUUUAUACCGAUUACCUCAGUCCCACUAACUUGUCUGUGUCCUCACUGCUUCGACUCAGCCUCCAGAAACCCGUGUAAAUGUUUGCCUAUUGCUGGUUGUGGCACGGAGGUCGUGUAGUAGAUAAAACAGGAAAAGAUAUAAAAAAAAAAGACGCGAAUAUAUGGAAGACCUUUUCGCCAUAUUGCUUUUUCUAGCCUUGUUGAAGUAUUUCUUGAUGACGAGAAUGCUUUGUUACUUAUACAUUUGAUUAGUGACUUGACAUGUAUUUUAUUGCGAUGAUAAUCAUACUAGUUGUAGGUAUACCAUUAUUCUUAUAAUUUUAUCACUAUUAUUAUUGUUAUUAUUAUUAUUACUAUUAUUAUUAUUAUUGUUAUUGCUGUUAUUCUUCUUAGUGUUAUUAUUAUCACUGUUAUCAUUAUUAUUAUUGUCAUUGCUAUUCUUAUUCUUAUUGUUACUAUUAUCAUAGCCAUUAUUAUCCUUUUCAUAAUUAUUAUUAUCAUCAUAAUCGUUAUCAUUAUUACUUUUAUCAUCAUUAUCAAUGCUAUUAUUUCAUAUUGUUACUAGUAUCAUUAUUAUCAUAAUAGUCAUAAUUUUUAUCCUUAUAAAAUACAAUUAUAAUCAGCAUUAUCAUUAUUGUUGCUACUAUCAUUAUCAGUGAUAUCGUUAUUAUUAUUAUCAAUAUUACUAUUAUUACCAUCAUCAUUAUUUUAUUAUUUUUAUUGUUAUUGAUUAUAAUUGGUUUUGAUAUUAAUAUCAUCAAUAUUAUCAAUGUUAUUAUUAUCAUCAUUAUUUUAUUAUUGUACUAGGAGUUAAGGAUCACAAACCUAUCAACCGUAACAUUCCUUUAUUGAAGAUUUCGACCUGUAAGAGUUCAAUAAAGAUAAAUGGAAUAUAA